CUCUGCCACAUAUGGCCCAGGGAGAAGGCGCUAAAGGUGAGCGCCGGCUGCAGGGCGGAGGACUCUGGCCUCUGCGGGGCCGAGCCACGGAGCCACCUGGCUUGCGGGGAUCCCUGGGACCCAGCCUUGUUCUACUGCCCACUUGACGCGGCGGGCACCCUCCUUCCUGCUGUUGUCCACACCAAGGGUGGCCUACAGAGGGAAGUGAGGACCUUGGGACUUCCUCCAGGACAGCCCUCGCUGUCCAAAUCUCCACCUGCUGCAGAGCUGCCUCCAGUCAAGCCCUUGUUUCCAGCUUUCUGUGCCCUAAAUAAACUUCUGCUGGGAUUGAGCCAUCAGCAUUCUGUGGUGGGCGUCGCUGCUGCGAGGUUGCCCUCGUGCACACAAGCUCCUCACAGGACUUCCAGGAUGAUAUGGAAGAGUGACUGAGAGCAGCCGCCCGGUGCUUCCCAACCUUAGAGGGAGGUCACGGGCAGUCUCCCUGCGAUGCUGGCCACAGGUGUGAGGAAGACAGUCCUUAUAGGAAAAUGCCCUCUCGUUCUUAUUCUCUACUUUAAAAAAUCUUUAAAUCAUGAGUAUAAUAAAUGUUAUCAAAUGCCAUAUUCCACAUCAAUAUAAUGAUUACAAUUUUUUUUUUGAGACAGGGUCUCGCUGUGUCGCCCAGGCUGGAGGGCAGUGGUGUGAUCUGGACUCACUGCAGCCUCGACCUGUUGGGCUCAAGUGAUCCUCUCACGUCAGCCUCCAAGUAGCCAAGACCACAGGCAGGCGUCACCAUGCCCAGCCCCCAUGAUGACUUUACUUUUCUUCUUGAACCUGCUGUCUAUGAGCUUCAUCAAAUGGGCAGGACCACUUUCCCUUAACUUCUCCUUUUCUGGAACAACGGACAUAUCCUGUGGAUUAUCUGUUCCCCACAGGUUUGGGAUAUGGGUGCUGUGAAUGCCACUGUGCUGGGGGCUUUGGGAAGUGUGUGUUUGUUUUCGUGCGUGUGCGGUGGGAUACAGGUGUGGUUACUACUUUGAUUUCUUUCUUUCUUUUUUUUUUUUUUUUUUUUGAGAUGGAGUCUCACUCUGUUGCCCAGGCUGAAGUGCAAUGGCGCGAUCAUGACUCACUGCAACCUCCGCCUCCUGGGUUCAAGCGACUCUCCUGCCUCAGCCUCCAGAGUUGCUGGGAUUACAGGCACCCACAACCAUACCCUAAAUUUUGUACUUUUAGUAAAGAUGGGGUUUCACCAUUUGGCCAGGCUUGUCUUGAACUCCCAAUUACCAAUUUCUUAUGUGUCCUUUUGAAGACUUUCUAAGUACGACCAACCUAGUAAAGUGAGUCACCCACCACUGUUUUGUUUGUUUUUGUUUGUUUGUUUGUUUUUUAGAAUGGGGUUUCACCUUGUUGCCCAGGCUAGUCUUGAACUCUUGGGCUCCAGCAAUCUACCCUCCUCAGCUUCCCAAAGUGCUGGGAUUAUAGGCAUGAGCCACCAUGCCUGGCCCCACCACUCAUUCUUAACCUCUUCUUCUUUGCCUUUCUCUGUUGCAGAGUCCUGGAAGUUAAAUGCUCUAUUUCCCAGCCUCCCUUGCAGCUAGGAGCAGUCAUGUGACUCCAUUCUGGCCAACGAGAUACAAGAAACACUUGCUGACAGGUGCAAUCAGAAAGCGUUUGCUUUUCCAGUAACAUGUAGGACCAGUCACCUUUUUGCAUUUCCCCUUUCUUCUUGAUUCGAACAUUGCAUUGCCGUCAUGUUUGGAGAUGAGUCAGCCAUCUUGCAAAUAGGAGGCAGCAAGACUGAGGGAAAUGCCAUCCUGCUUCAGAGGGCAGAAUGGAAAGAGAAGCCUAAGAUGGCAAUGGUACGGUUGGGCAGCUGAGUCAGGACUGGGGCCACUGCCUCUCGGUUUCAAGGGAGAAAAAUAAACCCCUGUUUGUUGGCCUCAUGCUAGGUUGGAUUUUCUUUUACUUAAAGCCAAGACAUUUCUAACAUACAAAACCAGACACAUGUGCAUGCCACACGUACAUCACAAGUGAUCACAUGCUGUCCGACUAGCACCUCGAUUUUUCCACUGAACCAUCAGUCUUGCAGAUCAUCCUUUAUCAGUGCCUGGCAACUUGUCUUGCCCUUGUUUUCUUGGGUUUUUGUUUUUGUUUUUGUUUAAGACAAGGUCUCAUCUGUUGCCCAGGCUGGAGUGCAUUGGCACAAUCAUAGCUCACUACAGCCUGGACCUUCUGGGCUCAGCAGUCCUCCGUCCUCAGCCUCCCGAGUAGCUGGUACUAAAGGCAUGUGCCACCAUGCCCGGCUAAUUUUCACAUGUUCUUUUAGAGACUGGGUCUUGCUUUGUUGCCCAGGCUGGUCUUGAACUCCUGGACUCAAGCAGUCCCCCUGCCUAGGCCUCCCA
rnacentral:lncRNA from 1 species